GUGCUCGCUUCGGCAGCACAUAUACUAAAAUUGGAACGAUACAGAGUAGAAUGUCCCUUAUUAAAGGGACAAAAAGUAGACGGCAUCAGAGCCAGAGAUUUUG
rnacentral:snRNA from 1 species